GGGGGUUUCAUUGGAGAUGCUUCCGGAAGGCUCUGGGCAUAGAUACAAGACACUAUAACGCCUGGUUCGGUCUUGGAAGGAUCUAUCUUUGUCAGGAGAAAUUCGAGUUUGCGCAGCAUCAAUUUCAACUGGCUCUCCAAAUAAAUCCAAGAUCUUCAGUCAUCAUGUGUUACUAUGGAAUUGCUUUGCAUGAGUCAAAGAGGAACAAUGAGGCGUUGAGGAUGAUGGAGAAGGCUGUACUCACUGAUGCGAAGAAUCCGGUCGCGAAGUACUUCAAAGCUAAUAUAUUAAAUAGUCUCGGUGAUUAUCACAAAGCCCAGAAAGUUUUAGAAGAGCUCAAAGAAUGUUUUCCUCAAGAGGGCAGCGUCCAUGCGUUGCUUGGCAAAACAUACAAUCAGCUAAAACAAUACGACAAAGCCCUGUUACAUUUCGGCAUUGCUUUGGAUUUAAGCUCUUCUCUAUCUGUUGACAUUCUCACAUUCUCUUUAUUUCUCACACUUGGUUUCAUUGUCUUUAGAGAGAAAGAACAAAAACCAUUACUCUUUAAUUGUCUACAUUGUAUUAAUGGAUCACAAGGAUACUUUUGUUACAUCACACAUACAAGCAUACUUAUACUACUUUACUUCUA